UACGUAGGGGGCAAGCGUUGUCCGGAAUUAUUGGGCGUAAAGAGCUCGUAGGCGGUGUGUCGCGUCGGCCGUGAAAACCUGCAGCUUAACUGUGGGCUUGCGGUCGAUACGGGCAUCACUGGAGUUCGGCAGGGGAGACUGGAAUUCCUGGUGUAGCGGUGAAAUGCGCAGAUAUCAGGAGGAACACCGGUGGCGAAGGCGGUCCCCUGGGCCGGAACUGACGCUGAGGUGCGAAAGCGUGGGUAGCAAACGGG
rnacentral:rRNA from 1 species